rnacentral:rRNA from 1 species
UACGGGGGGGGCAAGCGUUGUUCGGAAUUACUGGGCGUAAAGGGCGCGUAGGCGGUUGGAUAAGUCAGCUGUGAAAACCACGGGCUUAACUCGUGGCCUGCAGUUGAGACUGUCUGGCUUGAGUGUGGGAGAGGAGAGUGGAAUUCCUGGUGUAGCGGUGAAAUGCGCAGAUAUCAGGAAGAACACCCGUGGCGAAGGCGGCUCUCUGGGACGGUACUGACGCUGAGACGCGAAAGCGUGGGGAGCGAACAGG